UACGUAGGGGGCAAGCGUUGUCCGGAAUCAUUGGGCGUAAAGCGCGUGUAGGCGGCUCGAUAAGUCUGCUGUGAAAGUCCAAGGCUCAACCUUGGGAUGCCGGUGGAUACUGUCGGGCUCGAGUCCGGAAGAGGAGUGUGGAAUUCCUGGUGUAGCGGUGAAAUGCGCAGAUAUCAGGAGGAACACCAAUGGCGAAGGCAGCUCGCUGGGACGCGACUGACGCUGAGACGCGAAAGCGUGGGGAGCAAACAGG
rnacentral:rRNA from 1 species